CAUCCAUCCAUCUUUGCAUCCAUCCAUCCAUCCAUCAGUUCCACUCAGAGGGAGGUCUGUUUUUGAUAAUCUAAAGAUGAAAAUGUGACUUUAUCUUCAGGAGUCACUCGAAGACGUUUACAGGAUCAUCAGGUUUGAAGGUCAGAGAUGGUCGGAGAGCGUCUGGUGAUGAUGUCAUGGUUUGCUGGUUUUGGUCUGUACAUCCGGUUUGUUUUAUAAAAAAAAGAGAGAGAGAGAGAGAGAGACAUCAGCAAUCGUCCGUCUGCUCCUCUUCAGCUGAAGAAAUCUUUAGAAAUGGCCUCCACACAGUU